UAUGGAUGUGAUGAGUGAUUACCGCCCCAGUCUGAAAAUUCAUGACAGAUUGGUAUACUCUCUGAUCCAUA